UUACGGCCAUAUCACGUUGAAACACCCAUUCUCAUACGAUCACCGAAGUUAAGCAACGUCGAGACUGAUCUGUACCUAAAUGGGUUACUGCUUGAGAAUAUCGUGUAGUGUA